rnacentral:lncRNA from 1 species
AUUACUGUUUGCUCAACAGCUUGGGAACCAUCAGGUAGAAGAACAAAGGGCACAUUUCAGGCUCAGAGAAACAUGAAAAGGGUAAAUGAACUUUGUGUGAAUCUUCCAGCUCUCAUGAUACUUUCUCUGGCCUCUUCCCCAGGAUGCUUUAUCCAAAAAAGAAAAAAAAACAAAAGCAAACAAGCUCUCAGACCCACCUCAGCUAUAUUGGAAUGAAAGUGCUGAAAAGAAAGGAAAUUUGUUUUCAAUACGAUGAAGAGAGAAAAGCACAGAUGAAGACUGUGACUUGUCCAACGUCUAUUAGUACGUGGCAAAAGCAGAUUUGAAAACACCUAUUUUAAACUCCAUCACCUAUACUCUCAACUACUCUGCCCACUACUCUGGUGCAUUUUCUCCUGAAGCAGCUCACCAUGGAGUCUUCCUACAAACGAGUUAAGAAGAGAAGAGACUGAUAAUCUCCUGCAAACGAGUUAAGAAGAGAAGAGACUGAUAAUCUACUGUUAUCUGUGUCAGGAAACAAUGCAGACCCAAUUAUGUAAUUCACUGAAGCUUUGAAAAUGGAAAAGUCUAUGUGCUUAAAGUAAAAACUGCAUAAUAAUCUGCAAGAGCUGUAAAUAGGGCUCUUGAGGAGAUUCGUUUGUGCCCUGAUUUCCUGUGCUGACAUUAGACUGGCACUGCUAACAGUGUCAACGCAGUCUGCACAAAUGAUUACACAGACUGCUUGGAAAAGAAUCAAAAUGAAUAAUUUCAUAGUUACUCCAAAGCACUGUCAUGGUGCCUACAUCAGAUACAGUGAUGAAGGUGACACCUCAUACAUACGCAUAUCUGGGGUGGGCAGGGAU